AGUACACGUUUUCUAGGUUUUCAUUACCGGCAUCUGCCGGUCUUUCAUCCUACCACUGAAAACAUCCAGGCCCAGGCCCAGCCCCAGCCCCAUCGUCGUUCUUUGUCUCCAGACCCAAUUUCGAAUUACAUGUUCUCAAAUCGCGUCAUCUCUUCAAUCUACACAGCACAUAUGCCGAUUAAUGGAAUAUCCUGCCAAUAUUCUGCUCCGAUUCCGAUCUCUGAUCACAGAUUAUGGUCAAAGAAGGCAAGAGAAGAGGCGUCGAUUUCGCCGGCAAACCGUCAACUUAAGAGAGAGAAUCCGGCCGACCUUACAGCAACGACUAACAUCGCCUCUGAACGACGACGACGGCUAGGGUUACUGGGAUGUCCAGAGGAGGCGGAGGUGUUUCGCAGAGGGGUUUCGGUUCAACAUGGCAGCGACGACAACGGAGUUUAGGGUUCCGGCGACCGUUUUGGUUAGAACGGAGACAACGGUGCGAGUUUAGGCGACGACCAACCCUCCGACGAAGAUCCGACGAAGUUCAGCAUCAACAACAUCCGCUGUAAGCAUAUUGGUUGUCCACACAGAUUCUGUGUGAACAACAUAGAGAGGCAGCGAACAUAGAUGUGGUAUAGCAUUUAACAACGAGCAUAGCUGCAAAGAUCUGUUCUAGCAUCCAAUUGAUGAAGAAAAGGGGAUGUUUGUGAAUAUUGAAGCCACAUAUGACAUCUAAUAUAGACUUCAUGACCAUUUAAUUUCCUAUGUUCAUGACCUUUGUUUUAAAUUGACAUUUGUAGGGAUAGAUGAACUAAUGAACUGGAUCUUUCGAAAGCAUGAUAAGGAUCCACAAAUGGCUAAAGAAUUUUGCAGGUUUCUUCAGUAACUUUUACUAUUUCUAGGUUGGUGUUUUGAUAAUUAAUAGAUUUAUGUUCAUGCGAUUGUGCUCUUUACGUGUUGGGUAUUGUGGCGGCAUCAAAACGCGAAAGUCUUUACCCGGGUAAACACUUUAAUCAUUAAAGUUGUGGAGGAGGUCAAGGAAGUUUCAUACAAAUGGAUACAAUAACGCUCAAAGUUCAAUGGCACCACAUGGAGUAGCUGGUGCACUUUUGACAGUUCAUGUUGAAGUUAUUUAGUUUGUUUGUUGUAUGAUGAUGAAUUAUGACCUGCUAAUGUUUUUUGUCUUCUAAGCAUCUUUGCUUGGGGACUGGAAAUUUGAUAAAGAAAUAAUAAUGUUUUCAACUCCAUUUAUUCAGUCAAGCAUUCCCAAGCACA